CAAGGAUGUCGCUGAAAAAAUCAUCACGAAAGGAGCCAAGCUUGAUUUAGGAGACUGCCAUGAUCGGACACCUCUUCAUUUAGCUGCUAUGAAUGAUCACAUGGAGGUUGUCGAAUUGCUCAUCACAAAAAAAGCUAAAGUUAAUCCUAAGGACGGUCUUAAGCGGACACCUCUUCAUUAUGCUGCUGAGAAUGGCAACGUACAAAUCGUUCAAAUCCUUGUGAACAAUGGAGCCAGUCUUAGUAUAAAAGAUUAUCGAAAUCAGAC